rnacentral:piRNA from 1 species
UCUGACAAAGCAAAAGGAAGAUGAAG